rnacentral:lncRNA from 1 species
GAGCGGCCUGGGGCUGCAGCUCCGCACUCCUCCUCCACGGCGGCUCGAGUUUCCAGCGCUGAGUGUCGAUCACUGAACCUUUCAGAGCCCUAGGGAGCUGGGCGUGUCCCCGACGCUUUGAGCUCACAGCCUAACCUUCAACCCCAGACCAGCCUGGGAGCCGCGAAGCCUCUGGAGGACGGUGGAGGAGACAGGCUUUCCUGCAGGAAGAGGAGCUCCAGGUGGCCUUCGCCACGGGGAGGGGCUCCACCCCGCCCCCAGCCAGGGACGUUCCUUCUGACCCCACUCUCCCUGCGGUCCCGGCCACCUGGCAGACUGAGCUGGACACGCCCUCAUCUCGCCGAGGGGCAAACUGAGGCUCAGGCUCCAAGGCAGGUAGACGUGGCGCUAAGAACUCUUGCUCCUAAGGAAAAAAAAAAGAACUCUUGUUCUGGAAUCAGCUCAGACGCCUGGAUUCAAUUUGGAUUCUGCCACUUAAUAGCUGUCAUACUCAGCCGUUUCCCUACCUCUCUGAGCUCAGGCUGUAGAAAUGCCCCAUCUGAGGGUUCCUGGAGGUUAUGCUCACAACCCCUUUAGCACUGUGCCUGGAGCUGACCAUUAUGGCUGUGAAAGCAACCUGCCCCAGGCCACCUGUCAAACCGAGGUGGUAAAAAUGAAUUACAACAACAAAAAGAGGAGAACAAAAAAAUAAAAUAAAUCGAGUAAAUAAAAUAAAAUACAACACAACAACAAAAAACCCGAGGUGGUAGACUUGGGCCCAGAAUCCCCCUCUCCUUAGGGGACCCCAGCUCUUCCUGCUGUGGGGGAGAAGCCCCCAGGAACCCACGCUCUGGCUGGGUGCUUAUUUUGGGGAGAGGUCUGUGUUGCCAGCUGAUCCCACAGUCAUCUAGGUUUCGCUGCCAUGGGCUGGCUUCCUUGGGAUGGCUCCACCCUUCCUCCAAGCCUGGCCACACCUCAUCUCCCUUCAAACCCAAAGUCCAGGGUGGGGUGGGGGGAGUGGAGGGUGAUCUCAAACCUUGCUGUGGGAGUAC